AGAGUUUGAUCCUGGCUCAGAUUGAACGCUGGCGGAAUGCUUUACACAUGCAAGUCGAACGGCAGCACGGGUGCUUGCACCUGGUGGCGAGUGGCGAACGGGUGAGUAAUGCGUCGGAACGUACCGAGUAAUGGGGGAUAACGCAGCGAAAGUUGUGCUAAUACCGCAUACGCCCUCCGGGGGAAAGCAGGGGAUCUUCGGACCUUGCGUUAUUCGAGCGGCCGACGUCUGAUUAGCUAGUUGGUGGGGUAAAGGCCUACCAAGGCGACGAUCAGUAGCGGGUCUGAGAGGAUGAUCCGCCACACUGGAACUGAGACACGGUCCAGACUCCUACGGGAGGCAGCAGUGGGGAAUUUUGGACAAUGGGGGCAACCCUGAUCCAGCCAUUCCGCGUGAGUGAAGAAGGCCUUCGGGUUGUAAAGCUCUUUCAGCAGGAACGAAACGGUACGCUCUAACAUAGUGUGCUAAUGACGGUACCUGCAGAAGAAGCACCGGCUAACUACGUGCCAGCAGCCGCGGUAAUACGUAGGGUGCGAGCGUUAAUCGGAAUUACUGGGCGUAAAGCGUGCGCAGGCGGAUUGUUAAGCAAGACGUGAAAUCCCCGGGCUUAACCUGGGAAUGGCGUUUUGAACUGGCAGUCUAGAGUGUGUCAGAGGGGGGUAGAAUUCCACGUGUAGCAGUGAAAUGCGUAGAGAUGUGGAGGAAUACCGAUGGCGAAGGCAGCCCCCUGGGAUAACACUGACGCUCAUGUACGAAAGCGUGGGUAGCAAACAGGAUUAGAUACCCUGGUAGUCC
rnacentral:rRNA from 1 species